rnacentral:pre_miRNA from 1 species
UUUAGGGGGGGGGGUGUCCCUCAGCCCAGAUUGCGAAAUGGUGAAGGCCAGACUGAGGGACCCCACUAGUGUAUG